CCCUUUGACCCUUGUUGAAAAGAUUCCAUCACGAACUUUUAAAUUGAAAUAAAAGACCCGGACAAGAUCGGGAUAGUACCUUCCACGGAGUUCCAUGAUGUGUUGAACUCCUUGCUCAAUAAUAAGAUUUGGGAAUGAAAAACUGUUAGAGAUAUACCAAGCAAGAUCAAUGAACUUUUGCUUGACAAGCUUUCUCUCCUUCCAAAAUUGUGAGAAGGAUUGUUGAUCUUGAUCAUCAGAGAGCCAACCUUCCAC
rnacentral:lncRNA from 1 species